rnacentral:rRNA from 1 species
UCGGAACUUGUCAGAGAUGACUUGGUGCCUUCGGGAACCGAGAGACAGGUGCUGCAUGGCUGUCGUCAGCUCGUGUCGUGAGAUGUUGGGUUAAGUCCCGUAACGAGCGCAACCCUUGUCAUUAGUUGCCAUCAUUUGGUUGGGCACUCUAAUGAGACUGCCGGUGACAAACCGGAGGAAGGUGGGGAUGACGUCAAGUCCUCAUGGCCCUUAUGGGUAGGGCUUCACACGUCAUACAAUGGUCGGUACAGAGGGUUGCCAACCCGCGAGGGGGAGCUAAUCCCACAAAGCCGAUCGUAGUCCGGAUCGCAGUCUGCAACUCGACUGCGUGAAGUCGGAAUCGCUAGUAAUCGUGGAUCAGCAUGUCACGGUGAAUACGUUCCCGGGUCUU